rnacentral:rRNA from 1 species
GACGAACGCUGGCGGCGUGCUUAACACAUGCAAGUCGAACGGAAAGGCCCUGCUUUUGUGGGGUGCUCGAGUGGCGAACGGGUGAGUAACACGUGGUUAACCUGCCCUGGACUUGGGGAUAACUUCAGGAAACGGGGGCUAAUACCGGAAAGGAGCUCCUGCGGCAUGGGGGGGGUGGGAAAGUUUCGGCGGUUGGGGAUGGACUCGCGGCUUAUCAGCUUGUUGGUGGGGUAGUGGCUUACCAAGGCUUUGACGGGUAGCCGGCCUGAGAGGGUGACCGGCCACAUUGGGACUGAGAUACGGCCCAGACUCCUACGGGAGGCAGCAGUGGGGAAUAUUGCACAAUGGGCGGAAGCCUGAUGCAGCAACGCCGCGUGCGGGAUGACGGCCUUCGGGUUGUAAACCGCUUUCGCCUGUGACGAAGCGUGAGUGACGGUAAUGGGUAAAGAAGCACCGGCUAACUACGUG